rnacentral:misc_RNA from 1 species
AUAAAUGGCGAAGCUCGAAAGAGUCUAAGCUUUAUAUUAUUCCAUAACACCUGUGAACUAUUUGCCUUCUUGUCAUGAGAAGGUACAACCUAUACAAACAUAACUGUAAUGAAUGUAAUCUAUUAUAACAUAAUA